AGAUUGAUGGCGAGUGGCGAACGGGUGAGUAAUACAUCGGAACGUGCCCUGUAGUGGGGGAUAACUAGUCGAAAGAUUAGCUAAUACCGCAUACGACCUGAGGGUGAAAGUGGGGGACCGCAAGGCCUCAUGCUAUAGGAGCGGCCGAUGUCUGAUUAGCUAGUUGGUGGGGUAAAGGCCCACCAAGGCGACGAUCAGUAGCUGGUCUGAGAGGACGAUCAGCCACACUGGGACUGAGACACGGCCCAGACUCCUACGGGAGGCAGCAGUGGGGAAUUUUGGACAAUGGGCGAAAGCCUGAUCCAGCAAUGCCGCGUGUGUGAAGAAGGCCUUCGGGUUGUAAAGCACUUUUGUCCGGAAAGAAAUGGCUCUGGUUAAUACCUGGGGUCGAUGACGGUACCGGAAGAAUAAGGACCGGCUAACUACGUGCCAGCAGCCGCGGUAAUACGUAGGGUCCAAGCGUUAAUCGGAAUUACUGGGCGUAAAGCGUGCGCAGGCGGUUGUGCAAGACCGAUGUGAAAUCCCCGAGCUUAACUUGGGAAUUGCAUUGGUGACUGCACGGCUAGAGUGUGUCAAAGGGGGGGUAGAAUUCCACGUGUAGCAGUGAAAUGCGUAAAGAUGUGGAGGAAUACCGAUUGG
rnacentral:rRNA from 1 species